UGAGGCCAACGCCCAUAAUGCGGGCUGUUGCCCGGCAUCCAACGCCAUUCAUGGCCAUAUCAAUGAUUUUCUGGUGCGUACCGGGUUGAGAAGCAGUGUAAGUGAACUGCAGUUGCCAUGUUUUACGGCAGUGAGAGCAGAGAUAGCGCUGAUGUCCGGCAGUGCUUUUGCCGUUACGCACCACCCCGUCAGUAGCUGAACAGGAGGGACAGCUGAUAGAAACAGAAGCCACUGGAGCACCUCAAAAACACCAUCAUACACUAAAUCAGUAAGUUGGCAGCAUCACCCGUGAACCAUAAUUAUAUUAUUCGCUGUAUAAUGAUAUCGUUAACCAGAAUUUAAUCUUGUCGGGGUAUUAAUGGCCAGGAAUCAGGAAAAGAAAACGCCCGUCAUUGUGGUGAAAAAACGUCGCGUUAUUUCACCACCACCUGUCGUCGA
rnacentral:rRNA from 1 species